rnacentral:rRNA from 1 species
AUUGAACGCUGGCGGAAUGCUUUACACAUGCAGGUCGAACGGCAGCACGGACUUCGGUCUGGUGGCGAGUGGCGAACGGGUGAGUAAUGUAUCGGAACGUGCCCAGUCGUGGGGGAUAACGUAGUGAAACUUACGCUAAUACCGCAUACGAUCUAUGGAUGAAAGCGGGGGAUCGCAAGACCCCGCCCGAAUAGAGCGGCCGAUAUCAGAUUAGGUAGUUGGUGGGGUAAAGGCCCACCAAGCCAACGAUCUGUAGCUGGUCUGAGAGGACGACCAGCCACACUGGAACUGAGACACGGUCCAGACUCCUACGGGAGGCAGCAGUGGGGAAUUUUGGACAAUGGGCGAAAGCCUGAUCCAGCCAUUCCGCGUGCAGGAUGAAGGCCCUCGGGUUGUAAACUGCUUUUGUACAGAACGAAAAGGUUUCUACUAAUACUAGGAGCUCAUGACGGUACUGUAAGAAUAAGCACCGGCUAACUACGUGCCAGCCGCCGCUGUAA